rnacentral:rRNA from 1 species
CGCGGCCUAUCANKUUGUUGGUGGGGUAAUGGCCUACCAAGGCGACGACGGGUAGCCGGCCUGAGAGGGCGACCGGCCACACUGGGACUGAGACACGGCCCAGACUCCUACGGGAGGCAGCAGUGGGGAAUAUUGCACAAUGGGCGAAAGCCUGAUGCAGCGACGCCGCGUGAGGGAUGACGGCCUUCGGGUUGUAAACCUCUUUCAGUAGGGACGAAGCGCAAGUGACGGUACCUACAGAAGAAGCACCGGCCAACUACGUGCCAGCAGCCGCGGUAAUACGUAGGGUGCGAGCGUUGUCCGGAUUUACUGGACGUAAAGAGCUCGUAGGCGGUUUGUCACGUCGUCUGUGAAAACCCGAGGCUUAACCUCGGGCCUGCAGGCGAUACGGGCAGACUUGAGUACUGUAGGGGAGACUGGAAUUCCUGGUGUAGCGGUGGAAUGCGCAGAUAUCAGGAGGAACACCGGUGGCGAAGGCGGGUCUCUGGGCAGUAACUGACGCUGAGGAGCGAAAGCGUGGGUAGCGAACAGGAUUAGAUACCCUGGUAGUCCACGCCGUAAACGGUGGGUACUAGGUGUGGGUUUCCUUCCACGGGAUCCGUGCCGUAGCUAACGCAUUAAGUACCCCGCCUGGGGAGUACGG